rnacentral:rRNA from 1 species
UACGUAGGGGGCAAGCGUUGUCCGGAAUCAUUGGGCGUAAAGCGCGUGUAGGCGGUUCGGUAAGUCCGCUGUGAAAGUCCAGGGCUCAACCCUGGGAUGCCGGUGGAUACUGUCGGGCUAGAGUACGGAAGAGGCGAGUGGAAUUCCCGGUGUAGCGGUGAAAAUGCGCAGAUAUCGGGAGGAACACCAAUUGCGAAGGCAGCUCGCUGGGACGUCACUGACGCUGAGACGCGAAAAGCGUGGGGAGCAAACAGGG